rnacentral:tRNA from 1 species
GGAGGGGUGACGGAGCGGCCGAACGUGCCAGUCUUGAAAACUGGAGAUGGGGCAACCUAUCCGCGAGUUCAAAUCUCGCCCCCUCCG